AAUGAAUUGCCUGACUAAAGGAUUAUCUUGAUAGGAUAAAUAAUGUGAAUACCCAUCACAUUCAUUA
rnacentral:tRNA from 1 species